rnacentral:rRNA from 1 species
AGUGAACGCUGGCGGUAGGCCUAACACAUGCAAGUCGAACGGCAGCACAGAGGAGCUUGCUCCUUGGGUGGCGAGUGGCGGACGGGUGAGGAAUACAUCGGAAUCUACUCUGUCGUGGGGGAUAACGUAGGGAAACUUACGCUAAUACCGCAUACGACCUACGGGUGAAAGCAGGGGAUCUUCGGACCUUGCGCGAUUGAAUGAGCCGAUGUCGGACUUAGCUAGUUGGCGGGGUAAAGGCCAACCAAGGCGAAGAUCCGUAGCUGGUCUGAGAGGAUGAGCAGCCACACUGGAACUGAGACACGGUCCAGACUCCUACGGGAGGCAGCAGUGGGGAAUAUUGGACAAUGGGCGCAAGCCUGAUCCAGCCAUACCGCGUGGGUGAAGAAGGCCUUCGGGUUGUAAAGCCCUUUUGUUGGGAAAGAAAUCCAUCUGGUUAAUACCCGGGUGGGAUGACGGUACCCAAAGAAUAAGCACCGGCUAACUUCGUGCCAGCAGCCGCCGUAA